UGCAAGUCGAACGGCAGCACAGUAAGAGCUUGCUCUUAUGGGUGGCGAGUGGCGGACGGGUGAGGAAUACAUCGGAAUCUACCUUUUCGUGGGGGAUAACGUAGGGAAACUUACGCUAAUACCGCAUAAGACCUUCGGGUGAAAGCCGGGGACCUUCGGGCCUGGCGCGGAUAGAUGAGCCGAUGUCGGAUUAGCUUGUUGGCGGGGUAAAAGCCCACCAAGGCGACGAUCCGUAGCUGGUCUGAGAGGAUGAUCAGUCACACUGGAACUGAGACACGGUCCAGACUCCUACGGGAGGCAGCAGUGGGGAAUAUUGGACAAUGGGCGCAAGCCUGAUCCAGCCAUACCGCGUGGGUGAAGAAGGCCUUCGGGUUGUAAAGCCCUUUUGUUGGGAAAGAAAUCCUGCCGGUUGAUAACCAGUAGGGAUGACGGUACCCAAAGAAUAAGCACCGGCUAACUUCGUGCCAGCAGCCGCGGUAAUACGAAGGGUGCAAGCGUUACUCGGAAUUACUGGGCGUAAAGCGUGCGUAGGUGGUUGUUUAAGUCUGCUGUGAAAGCCCUGGGCUCAACCUGGGAAUUGCAGUGGAUACUGGGCGACUAGAGUGUGGUAGAGGAUAGUGGAAUUUCCGGUGUAGCAGUGAAAUGCGUAGAGAUCGGAAGGAACAUCUGUGGCGAAGGCGACUAUCUGGGCCAACACUGACACUGAGGCACGAAAGCGUGGGGAGCAAACAGGAUUAGAUACCCUGGUAGUCCACGCCCUAAACGAUGCGAACUGGAUGUUGGGCACAACUUGGUGCCCAGUAUCGAAGCUAACGCGUUAAGUUCGCCGCCUGGGGAGUACGGUCGCAAGACUGAAACUCAAAGGAAUUGACGGGGGCCCGCACAAGCGGUGGAGUAUGUGGUUUAAUUCGAUGCAACGCGAAGAACCUUACC
rnacentral:rRNA from 1 species